rnacentral:rRNA from 1 species
AGAUUGAACGCUAGCGGGAUGCUUUACACAUGCAAGUCGAACGGCAGCGCGGACUUCGGUCUGGCGGCGAGUGGCGAACGGGUGAGUAAUGUAUCGGAACGUACCCAGUAGCGGGGGAUAACUACGCGAAAGCGUGGCUAAUACCGCAUACGCCCUUUGGGGGAAAGCGGGGGACCUUCGGGCCUCGCACUAUUGGAGCGGCCGAUAUCGGAUUAGCUAGUUGGUGAGGUAAAGGCUCACCAAGGCGACGAUCCGUAGCUGGUUUGAGAGGACGACCAGCCACACUGGGACUGAGACACGGCCCAGACUCCUACGGGAGGCAGCAGUGGGGAAUUUUGGACAAUGGGGGCAACCCUGAUCCAGCCAUCCCGCGUGUGCGAUGAAGGCCUUCGGGUUGUAAAGCACUUUUGGCAGGGAAGAAAAGGUGCCGGUGAAUACCCGGCGCCGCUGACGGUACCUGCAGAAUAAGCACCGGCUAACUACGUGCCAGCAGCCGCGGUAAUACGUAGGGUGCAAGCGUUAAUCGGAAUUACUGGGCGUAAAGCGUGCGCAGGCGGCUCGGAAAGAAAGAUGUGAAAUCCCAGGGCUUAACCUUGGAAUGGCAUUUUUAACUCCCGAGCUAGAGUAUGUCAGAGGGGGGUAGAAUUCCACGUGUAGCAGUGAAAUGCGUAGAGAUGUGGAGGAAUACCGAUGGCGAAGGCAGCCCCCUGGGAUAAUAC